AGGUACAAUGAGCGGUGGUUGUUGCAUCUAAUUCAAUUUCUAUUAGCGUACAAUCUAGUAGCUUUGCAGGUUUUGAUUUUAUAUGCUAACUGUAUUAGAAAUUGAUGCAAUAUAUAUGCCUCCUACGUGUUUGACAUUUGGCUUCUGAAAGUAAGUCGUUUUCCGGCCUUUGGUUUUCGUGAAGUCUUGAUUCCAAAAUAAGCAGCAAAGUCGGGAUCCAUAACUUUGUACCCAUUAUUUCAUCUGAAGUUUUCUGGGCAAUUGAGUUUCAUAUGGCUUGGAACUACACCACCUCUUUCUUUGUCUCUCUCGCAAACAUACAAAGGCACAUUCUUUCACAGUUACGCACCGGGUGGAAUUAUUGUCAGGGCUUGUUGGUUGCUUCCAUUGAACAAAGCCGCCUUUAAGUAGCUGGUUUGUAGAAUCAUGGAAGCACACAAAGGGAGGAUACGCAGUUUGUAGAAUUGGUGUAUUCGUGCAUACAUUAUCUCUUUUAGAUAGUUUUAUUGAUGAACCUGUACUUCACGUUCCAGUAAACCCUGGUGAACUAGAUGUCCAGAAUCAUGUUAGUUUAAUGAGGCUUAGAUAGUAGUAUAUAAUAUCACCCAGAAUGUUGAUCUCCUCAUAUAUUUUGACAAUUUAGCUGAUUUGGACUUUCUGCAAAGUCUUAAAUAUUACCUUACUACUCUAGCCAGAAUGUUAUAUUAUUCAUUGUUAUCCUUUGCUAUGACUAUUAUUAAGAUAUGUUUGUUAACUUAGGUAAUGAUCCCUCUAACUUGUCUAUGUUUUCUUUCUAGCCUGUCCUUCCCUCUUGCUUAGCUGAGUAUGAGAGGCUCAGGUGUUGGGUAGCAUUUCAUGCACUGCAUUUCCGCCCAGAAAUUUUGGCACUGGGACCCUAAUGGUGGAAAGGGUCAGAACCAAACUUGUAUCUGGAUUCAGGAUCAGUGUUCAUAAUUAUGAUUUGGUGGUUUAGAGCCUGAUUACUAUGCUCAUUCUUCAUUAACUGGAUUCAUUCUUCUCCAUAUGGCUAGAGACUAGAGAGGAAUGGAAUAUAAUUUUUAGAGGAUAAGACUCUUGAGGAUAUGAACUGGUAGAUGUAAUCAAAACCAGGACUGCAUUUUGGGUGAAGGCAAAAUUUGAUCUUAAAAAGUACCCAGGUGGAUGACAUUAAAAGAUGCCUCAAUGGUAUUAGGAGACUGAAAGUGAGGGAAGAUGGGUUGUGGCUAAGAUUGAUUCUAUAUGGGGGGAUUAUGUGAAAUAAUGUGCUGUUGAAGGGGUUGCUGGUGUUGGCAAGGCUAGAUAGAAGGUGGGCUUGAGAAGGUGUGAAGCUGGGGUGGAUCAGAGUUCAUUUGUUUGGUUCUGCUGCUGUAAUUUUACAUAGGAGGGACUGCAAGAAUACUUCAGUCUCUUGGGUGUGUGGUGCUUAUGGGAUAAGUGUGGAUGAGUUGGUUGGUGUGCGCGCGCGCGCGUGUGCCAAACAUUUUUUUGGAGCAUUGUCAAAAGCUCUAAAACUUGUUUUCAAAUUGGAUUCGUAGCUGUGUUGCAAACUUGAUCGGGUGCUACGAAUGCUUGACUGAUGCUGUUUUGGAGGCUUACACUAUUAUGCUAUUUGGUUUGGGGAGUAAAAUGUGGUUUACAAUUAAGGGCUCAAUCUGUAUGGUCUGCUGGCUUUAGUGUCUACUUUGGUGCUAUAACCUACCGGGGAUGUUUGCUGCUACAAAAUCUGCUUCAUGUGCUAAUUCUGCAAGGAUGUUUGUCCCGGUGUUCCUAUGGCUAUGUGGGCUAGGCUUUUGUCUUGAUGUAUCUAUUUGUUUGCUUUGUACUUUUGUAUUUCCCUUUUGGUUGGCUUCUAGCCAACAUCUCUUUCUUUUGCUGUAGCGGGUGGCAUAUGAUUGUCCAUGCCUUGGUGCCAACCUAGUUGCAAUUAAGGUCUCUACAGUGAUGCCAUCGUUGUCCGUCUUCCUUUUAAUCUUUGUAAUCUUUUUGGCAUUGAUUAGUAAAAUCUUUCCUUUGCUGAGGACAAAAAAAA